CUAUAUAUAUGUUCAUGGCUGCAAGCAUUUGGCAACGACACAAGUCAUUCACAUCCUAAAGCAUAAGAAACUCAAAUACUUGCAUCUUAUUUACAAGUCAUUUGAAAAACUAGUAUUUCUUCAACACAUACAAAAAUGGGUUUUCGGUUACCCGGUAUUGUAAGAAAGGCAUCAUUUACUUCAUCUUCAAAAGCUAUGGAAAUUCCAAAAGGUUAUCUUGCAGUUUAUGUUGGAGAGAAAAUGAAGCGGUUUGUGAUCCCCAUAUCAUACUUGAACCAGCCUUCAUUUCAAGACUUGCUAAGUCAAGCUGAGGAAGAAUUUGGUUAUGAUCAUCCAAUGGGUGGCCUCACAAUUCCUUGUGAAGAAAAUAUGUUCUUAGAUAUCACUUCUCGCUUGAGUUGAUGCUAGCACCAUCAAGAUUAGGCUGACUUAGAAAUAGAUUACUUAACACAAUUUUUGUAGCAAUUUCUUACCCUGAGAAAGUUUUUCUCCAUUUUUUGUAUCCUACUAUGAAACUCAAUGAGAAAUUUAUGCACAUAAACAAAUGUCUCCCAUUUUCUCCUUAAAUAUAAAUGUACUCUUAAGUUCAAAGGCAAUAAUAAGCUGAAGUGCGGUUCAUAAAAUCAAUUUUCAUGAUGUGGUUUACAAUAAAAGAAAAGGAAAGCAGUAGAUAACUUUCAUGAUUUAAUAAUGAUGAUGCUAUACUCCUAAGUAAAAAAGUUAUUAUAAGAAAAGCAGUAACUAAGUAUGAAUUUGCAUAAUAUUAGUUUUAAUAAUGAGAACGACUAAGUAUGAAUUUGCAUAAUAUUAAUUUUAAUAAUGAGAACGUUUUUGGCCAGUUCAAUUAUCCAAUUAUCACUAUAGGAUGAUUAAACAGCUUCAAGGAUCAGUCCCUGUAUUUGCCAUGUCCCACUUUGCUUUUAUCUGUCUUUGAAAUCUGUGUGGACCCUUCCCAAUUUGUACAUAGUGGUCACUAAAAUGUGGCCUCUGAAAUUACAAUUGAGAUUGAAACACUAAUCCAGUUGUAUUCCAUAAUGUGAUGUUAACAUUGUAUUAUGAGUUACAUUUGUUUGCUGCAAUCAACUAAUGACCCCAUUUCUUCAUGUGACUGAGGCCCCAUUUUUUCUAUGACAGAAGAUUCCUCAAUUUUGAGUCACACAGCAUCCUCACAUGAACAUGUUAUUUGGUUUGAGGGCCACAACAAAAUUAUAUCCAAGUGACUGGUUCCUCACUGAUCCAUAUUCACCACAAAAGCAUCUGAAGAUAUCUUAAUCCACUUAUUCAUUGCUAUAUUUCCUUCUUUCCAAUAACCAAAUAGACUAAGGGCCAGUGACUUGUGUAACAGCUGUCAUGAGUAUGAAGCUAAAACCAUUAUCAAACUUUCCACUUUUGGUCUUUCUUGGUAUGAUACAAUGGUUUUUACAAAAAUUCAGAAUAAUAAAAAGGAAUCUAACUGUUGUAUGAUCUUUAUCCAAGAAAAAAGAAGGAAUUCAAUGCAUGUAUAAGUUUAAAUCCAUAGUCUGAUUGGAGCAUACUAUGAACUUUAUGAACAUAUAUACUAGCAUGUUAUCAUGUAUGUUAUGUUGGUUCUCUUUGUAACACUACUUUUCAAAGUCAAUCUGGUAUAAGUUGGCACCUCACAGAUGCAUGUCAACAUCAAUGUCAAUCUAAGAGAACGUGUGAUGUCUAAAGCAUAUCUACUAAUAGAUUAUGUAUGGUUUAAUGCAUGGACAUAUUUUUGGUGUCACCUAUGCUAUGCAUAUGUCUUUGCUUUCAAGAGGGUAAUUUGUUAGCCACUAAAAAUAUCAAUCAUAUAUCAUUCUGCAAAAAAUUCUUUUCCCAAACGGCUCAAACAUGCAUUGUGCAAGGUAGAAUUGAAAUAAAUUUAAAGUCCAGAGUCACAUCCAAAUCAUAAAAAGAAGAGAGAAAAAAACAGGGCAUCCCAGAACUAUCAAAUGGCAAAACUCAAUUGCCCGAAAUUCAAUAGCAGAAAAAUAGCUUGGGAAAUAAAGAAAAACCAACUUUUCCAAAACCAAUUCAUUCCCAAGAUAAUCAAAAACUAACAUCACAAUUAAAAAGCAAACCCUUUUUCUUUUCGCGGACUUGAAAAUAUUCAAUAACAGCAAUGAUUUGCACAAAAAAAAAACAUCUUUACAAUGGACCCCGACGUUAAGUAACAAAAUGCAAAAGAUUUGAACAGAGAAACAUCUUUAUAAAGAGAACCAACAAAAAAAGGGGGGGAGGGGGGGAGAUCCA